CAGUGUGUUCACAGACCCAGAAGGGAUGUUUUCAAGCUGCAUCCCUUACAGGUUAGGGUUUUCAGAAAAGCAGGAAACUGCUCAGGCUUCUGGACAAUAGUGACAUGUUUUGGACAUACAUAUCCCCAAAACCUCUGCCCACAGUGACAGAGAAUACCUGGGAAAAACAAGGUCUGAAAGAACAAAAUGCUUCUCACAGGAACCCAAGGACACUCCUGCAAAGUCUUCUCCAUGGUGACUCACCUCUUAGGAAUUCAUAGAAACUUAACUUCCUGGGACUUUGAAACUAAUGCUUGCUUCUACUUCUGUAAAAGCAAGUGCCUGCCUUCUCCAGCUCGAUUUAAACUGACCAAUGAGAAAGGGUACUUGUGGACAAAGAACCCUUGGCUGGAUUCAAAAGGGAAAGGACAGGGCCAGGCAGGGAGCCAUUUUUGGAAUUUAGUCCACCAUGUCUCUGAUGGCUGAAAUAAAGCUCUUCCUCUUUUAAAUGCA